CACUUUCUCUGGGAGAGUGCCAUGUCAAGAAGUCCUGUGCCAAAUGCCAAGCCAUAGGGACACUCAAGGAGCCCUAUGGAGAGCCACACAUGGUGAGGAACUGAGGCCUCCUGCCAAAAGUCAUGUGAGUGACCCAACUUGGAAGUGGAUCCUUCAAUCCCAGUUAAGUGGUCAGAGUGCAAUCAGUGGAAUGAAGAGGAGCCUGAGACAUUGUCCAUGGAAACCACCAAUUGAAAGCCUGACAAGCAGAAUAAAAAGUUACACUGCUUCUCAAAUCAACAGGACAAAGUGUCAAGAAGCCAAGAUGAAAUUUAAUAAAUAAAAAAAACUAUCAAAUAUAAAAUUGUAACGUGCUUUCAAAACACUGGGUAACAUUACAAUGACAACUACUAUAAAGCAGUACAUGUGGAACAAUCUGGGCAGACCUGCAAAGGAGGCAGAGUAAUAUGCUCCAACGAUAUGUUGUGUUCCAUUUACACUUACAUGAAAGAAAAAAGAAACAACUGAAAACUUUCAAGUUCUACUUAUCGACACACUGGUAUGUGUGCCUUAGAAGGAAGUUUCCAAGAAAGUUAGGGAAAUGCUUAAGUCUUUUUUUAAAAAAUUUGGGAAGGCUAUAUGAUACUGUUAACUUUUUUCAAGUAUUUUUUAAAAUUUAUAAUUCCACCAAAUACAAAUAUCUUUAUUUUUGCAAUAUUCUGGCUCCAACAUUUAACUGGCUUUAUAUCCUUAGGCAAUUUACCUGACCUCUCUACGCCUCAGUUUCUACUGUAAAAUGGAGAUAUUCACAGUAACUUCGCCACAGGGUAUAGUGAAGAUUAAACAAAUUAACAUCUGUAAAGCACUCAGACUGGUGCCUUGCACAAACUCUUAGCUACUAUUACUACUAAUUCACAUGUUCCAUACAUCUCUUAGAAACAAUCACUAUUAUCCGUUUAUCCAACACAAAUAUAUUCAGUAUCUACUAUAAAACAGACACUA